GCAGCUAGCCAGUGAUGGCAUGCGAAUCUCGAAAGCCUAUCUCAGUUCGGAUUGGAGGCUGAAACCCGCCUCCAUGAAGUUGGAUUCGCUAGUAAUCGCGCAUCAGCCAUGGCGCGGUGAAUACGUUCCCGGGCCUUGUACACACCGCCCGUCAAGCCAUGGGAGCCGGGGGUGCCUGAAGUUCGUUACCGCAAGGAUCGACCUAGGGCAAAACUGGUGACUGGGGCUAAGUCGUAACAAGGUAAC
rnacentral:rRNA from 1 species